UACUUACGUAUUAACGCCACCGCAGCUACAGAUUUGGCGGUUUAUUAAAAAAUAAAAAGUAGUUAGUCGCAUGUACUCAAGCGGGCGGCGGUUCGUGAUCGGUAUUCACGGCCCCGACUGUGCCCUACCUGGAGUACCUAUAUAUUUCAUGUCCGACGACCGAAGGGAGGAGAACGUUUGGCCUCGGGUCCGAGGGACGAGGACCGUGGCCGCAGGCUACCCGAGGCAAACAAACUCAAAUACCUUCCGAUUUAGGCGUAAAGUGAACGUUGAAACGUUAUUUGUAGUUUGUUUGCCUCUGGUGGCCCGCAGGGCCAACAAAAAAUUACCUGCAGGAAUCGA
rnacentral:lncRNA from 1 species